rnacentral:tRNA from 1 species
GGCCCCAUCUACUAAUUGGCUAGGUAGUAACCCUCUCAAGGUUAAAAUGUCAGUUCGAAUCUGGCUGGGGUCACCA